UCCGCAGUAGCUCAGCGGUAGAGCUAUCGGCUGUUAACCGAUCGGUCGUAGGUUCGAGUCCUACCUGUGGAGCCA
rnacentral:tRNA from 1 species